rnacentral:rRNA from 1 species
UACGAAGGGGUGCAAACGUUGCUCGGAAUCAUUGGGCGUAAAGCGCACGUAGGCGGCUUCGCAAGUCGGAUGUGAAAUCCCUCGGCUCACCGAGGACUGCAUCGAAACUGCGAGGCUUGAGUACUGAAGAGGAUCGCGGAAUUCCCGGUGUAGAGGUGAAAUUCGUAUGAUAGUCGGGAAGGAACACCCGGUGGCGAAGGCGGGUCUCUGGGCCGAUACCUGACGGCUGAGGAGCGAAAAGGC